rnacentral:lncRNA from 1 species
GCAGGAAGCCCCCCCCCCACCCAGUAGCUUGUGGGGAAUGCCUACCUAGCUUCCUGUCCUGACCCAGCCUUCUGGGCUAACUGGGGAGAAGUAAAUGUCCUGAGACUGGGGAUUGGGGGUGGCGUUUGUUCCCUUGCUCUACCCAGGGUCACCUCCCCUACAAAGGACUUGGGAGGGAGUAGGGAGUUGCAGUACCAUAAGUUUUUCAUUCACUUUGGGGGUUCCCUCUGUGCAUCCCAGGCUGGACACCACACAGCCUCACACUUUCCCAUCCCACUCACAGGCUGGUAAGAAACCAUCAAAGCAUCCGGUAAGACGGCCCUCAGCUCCCUGGGUCCAGCUUUCCCUCUUCUGCCCUCUGCUGGCCAUGUGGAGAAAUGAACCCUGCAACCCGCUUAGGGCUGGGAAGGUUCAGUCCUGUUCUGUCCUGGUUGUGGCCUGUCUUCAGCAAGUGAUGGGUCACCUUUGUGGAAGUUGGAGUUGGACACCUAUGACCCUCAGACCUGGUGAUACAAGCCAGCAUAGGAAGGCAGACUGUUUUCCAAGCACCACGCCUGUCCCCACCAGCAAAGAGCUGUUUCUGGGGCCAGGGUCCCUCGAGUCUUCUCACUGCUCAGAGGACUGCAGCUGAGCAGAGCACCCAGGUGUCCUGCCAGCCCCAUGGCUGUCUGUAGUGGGCUACAGCUCUAUACUGCUAUUGAUCGGCACUAUAGUUUGAAUAUUAGUUUAACUUUUUCAUACAGAGCAGAACUGUCACCCCAACAGUUUCUCUGCCUGGUGUUCACAUCCCUACAGAAUGGCUGGAUGCAGCCUGCUUGACUCACCCCACCAAACUCACACAUGCAGAUGUGCCACAGCUUCUACUAUUGGUCACAGUGUGACCCCAUGGAGCUCCUGCUGGGCAGCUGGGCACCGACUGUGGUACAUGCCUGCAGUCCAGCUACUUGGAGUGUUGAGGCAGGAGGAUCACUUAAAUCCAGGAGUUAGAGACUAACUGGGCAGUGUAUCAAGACCCCCAACUCAAAAUAAGAAAAAAAAAAUCUUGUGGGAAACUCGUUUGUGGGACCCAACAAAGAAGAUGGACCAGGUCCUGCCCCACCUGCCCUCUCUGACCUGUGAGUAUCUGUAAGGGCAGUCUUCAUCUUUACCUCUUUCCUAAUCGGUGAAGGAAGGGUGCUUUCCAUCUUAAAAGCCUAAUCAAUAUCACUUAGACAACAGGUGGCUCAUUCAUUAUGGGGUGGCUCAGGCCAUUUCAGUCCCCCUCACCAGGGGCCUCCGUUAAAGGGCACCAGUCAAGAUGUGCUGGUCGGGUUGGACGGCGUCUUUUGCAGCCUGGAAGGCAGUGCCUGACCUGCACAGGUGAGGUCUCUGCCUCCAUCCUAGGUGAACCCGCACUUGUCCUAGGUUAGAGCAGCUGCUCCUCGGGGCCUAUCGGGCUCUCGCGUCCAAGGGAGAU